rfam:Bacillus amyloliquefaciens FZB42, complete genome.
AUAAUAAGAAUGUAAGUUUUUCCUCCUUAGCAGAUUCGUUUCUUAAGCCAGGGCGAAUCUGCUUUUUUAUGCAAAA